GACGAACGCUGGCGGCGUGCUUAACACAUGCAAGUCGAACGGAAAGGCCCUGCUUUUGUGGGGUGCUCGAGUGGCGAACGGGUGAGUAACACGUGAGUAACCUGCCCUUGACUUUGGGAUAACUUCAGGAAACUGGGGCUAAUACCGGAUAGGAGCUCCUGCUGCAUGGUGGGGGUUGGAAAGUUUCGGCGGUUGGGGAUGGACUCGCGGCUUAUCAGCUUGUUGGUGGGGUAGUGGCUUACCAAGGCUUUGACGGGUAGCUGGCCUGAGAGGGUGACCGGGCGCGAUUGGAAUGAGGCACGGACGCGAAUGCGACGGGAGGGAGGAGUGGGGGAUGUUAGACAAUGGGGGCAACCCUGAGCGAGCCAUGGGGGGUGAGUGAUGAAGGGGGUAGGGAAGUAAAGCUCUUUCAGCUGGGAAGAUAAUGACGGUACCAGCAGAAGAAGCCCCGGCUAACUCCGUG
rnacentral:rRNA from 1 species